rnacentral:misc_RNA from 1 species
GGAAGGAAAAGUCGUAACAAGGUUUCCGUAGGUGAACCUGCGGAAGGAUCAUUAAUGUAACCGGACCGUUCUUUUGCCGUAAAACGCAUUAGACCGGAAAGGGAGAUAUCAUACACCCUGUGUUUAUUUACCUUUGUUGCUUUGGCGGGCCGUCCUUUACGGCGUCGGCUUCGGCUGAUCGUGCCCGCCAGAGGACCCAAACUCUUCUAUCAGUGAUGUCUGAGUACUAUUUAAUAGUUAAAACUUUCAACAACGGAUCUCUUGGUUUUG